UCUGCCAGUUUAGUCACGGUGCAUUUGAUUGAGAAAGUAGCUACUGGUGAUACUGGAAGUUUAUCUGUAUCAAUACUUCAGAAGAUGAGCACCAUGUCUAAAAAGUGCCACUUGGCCCAAGUUGGGUCAGCACUAUAAGAGAGAAUGAGUGGACCCAGAUCUACUUUAUGUAUGGUAUGGUAUUCAUUUGUUUUACCAGAAGACAUGUAGUCUUUCUUCUCCCUGCAAUUUUUUUAACAUGUAAUUCAUAUAUUUUAUUGCCAGUGAAAGCUGUUUUCAUACC